rnacentral:tRNA from 1 species
GAGGGUAUAGCUCAGUGGUAGAGUGCAUGCUUAACGUGCAUGAGGUCCUGGGUUCAAUCCCCAGUACCUCCA